UAUUUUUUAAAGGUUGAUGUUCUAAAGUUUCAUGUUGUGUCGGCUGACUCCUGCUCUGCUCUCUGAUUGGUAGAACCUGUCAGAGAAGGAGGAGCCUAACUACCUUUCUGCGGCGGCCUCUCCCUCCUCUCUUCCCCCUCGUCACUUUUGCUGCGUCUGUGGGUUUCCCUCCCACUACACCUGUACCACCUGCGGGGGGCGCUACUGCAGCAGCAAGUGUCUGAUAACACACAGAGAAACCAGGUGUUUGAAGUGGACACUCUAACUGCUGCCUCGUCGCCAUGGUGAAGAUGAUUAUUAUGGGAUGUUGCAGCGUGAUCUCUUGAGGUUUUGUUGGUGGUCGUUUUUGUUUGUGAGCAGAAAGAAGCACACACAAAUAGGCGGUAGGUCAUUUCAGAGGACUUUAGCCAUGACCUCACAGGUCAGUGAUGAUGUCACAGUGUACCUGAGUGAUGUCACAGAGUACACCUGUACUUCACUGCAGCACGUAAGAAUUCAACCACAGGAGGUACAAAAAAAAGCCUAAUUGUUGUUAAGUUAUUUUGGAACUUGUGUUUCCCCCGCUAUGUUAGAAUAUUUGUCCAAGUCUUGGCUAGCUUAGCUUAGCAUAAAGGGUCCAGAAAACAGAAAACUUUAACAUUUUUUAUAAAUGUAAUUACAUUCUUACAUUAGUCUCAAACUGGAAACUGAAAUCAUAUCUGACUCAUCGGCAUGUAGACGCAGCACACCAUGCUAUAUGCUAACGUGCUAAUAUAACUGUGAGAAUGCUAAGCUAAGCUAACAUGAGCUUCUGUUUCUGUAGUCCUCUUCCGCACAGACGUGUCAGUCAUGUUUGUUUGUGAAUAAUUGAUGUUUGAUUGUAGAUUAUUUUUUAAUUAAAGGACAACUGAUGUUUAAAA